AAGAUUUUAUCAAGAAUUCAUUGAAUCUAAGUAACAGUUACUAAAAAAAACGUGCAAUCUGGGUAAUAAUAGUCACUAAAUAAACAUAACAUCGCAUAACUCGACAUAACUACUCGUUAUGGUUUAAAAAUGAAACUCGAAAUUAACAAUAUUGUCAGCAAUUGGCGUAAAAAUUCAAAUCUAGCUUUUAAUCAUCAAGCUAUCAUGAGCUAUUUCCCUUAAGUACUAGUGUUUUUAUUUGAAUUAAUUGAGGAGUAACAAUCAUAAAGAAAACGUGCAAUUUGUGAUAAAAGGAAAAUGAGAUAAUGUCAUAAUGUCACACAGCGCAAUACGAUUAUAUUGCACUAGAUUGAACAUUUUCUGUGAAACUGGUGUAAAUGUAGCUAUUUUAGCCGUGUUUUUCCCCUAAGUGCAUAAAAAGAAAAAGGUGUAAUUUCAGACAAAAAAAAAAAAAUGUUGCUAAACACGCAGCUAGCUAAUCUGUUAGUUAGCGGCAUGUAUGAAAUGAAAUCCUAUUAUAAAUUACCACUUGGUUCAAAGUUUUAAGGAUAAAUGUAUGCUACGUUACAGCUAGCUUAGGAAACUAUGCUAAUAUGCUACAGGCUCAGAAAUAAAACAUGAGCAGAUUAUAGCAGUUUCUGAAUAUAGUGUUAGAAUUUCUAGCAUUAUCCAUUCAUUUAAUGUUAGUUAGCGCUGUCUCCUAGCGGCUAACACCUGAUUGAUAGUUUUGCUAGCGCACUCAUAUUUAUAAACCCGACGCUGUCGCCUUCCAGGACCGGAGUGUGACGACACGCUGUAGACGCGUCCAACUGACCGAGACGACACACAUACACACACUGAGAUGUAGACACAUUUUGAGACACGCGCCGCGAUCAGCAGGAGGCCACGCCCACAGGAAGUCCGUUGCGGCAGAUUAUGGCUGUAAUUCACACGCAUCCACCGUCCUCAUCUUCAUCUUCUUGCUUUUAUUUCUUUCUUUAUAUUGUUUUUCAAGGAAUAUCAAGGCUCUGUGUCUUUGUCUUUGUCCUUUUUCUUAAUUUAUUGUUUUGAGUGUGAGUGUGUGUGAGUGUGUGUGUGUUGUGUGUUUUUCUUUGUAUUGCAACACCGUCCAUGUCGUUCAUCUCCAUAAAGAAACAUCUGGGAACCGUUUAAAUUUUUGUAAAAAAAAAAAAAAAAACCCAAAACAAACGAAAUAAAACAAGAAAAGGAAAAAUAAAAGGACGGCUAGUUUGGCCUUUUUCCUUCAGCAUUAAACUACAGCUAUCACACAUCCUGAUAUUUUCACUAAGAAUUAGCACUAAACACUUGAGUUUUGUAGAUUUUGUAUAAAUUCUCGUACGAAAGCCCUCUAAAGCCAUUUUUCAAACUUUACGUUUUAAUUCUUUUCUUUCGGUAAAAAAACGUUAGCAUCAAAUACAAAACCCAGUCGUAUCGCUAGAAUUGUGUUUUAGAAACGAUUUUACAAUUUUUCCCUUUGGCAAUUUUUUCUUAUCAUCAAGCUAAACUACAAUUAGCAUUUAUUCCAAAUCUAAGUGUAUCGAGUCUUAACUGCUAGCAUGUCUACUCUAGAUUAGCGUGAAAAUCUGGACUUUAAAAGGACAACUAGAUAAAAAAACUCUGUUUAUUUUUAAAGCCAGUCUAAUCUGAAAUCUUUACCUUCUUUAAUUUUAAAAAAAGAAAACAUGCUAGCUACGUUCGGUGUCGUAUCCGGGCUAGUCUACAAGCUUAAAACCAGACUCAAUCGAGCGGCUGUGUCUAAAACCAUGCUAAUCUGCUAAAGUGUUAGCCUUACUUAUAUAAUCUCAGCAGGACUGGAGGGAGCGCACGCCCUCGUAAACUCCACUGUGUGUGUGUGUGUGUGUUGCGGGUGUGUGUGUGUGUAACAGUCAUCAGUGUAAACUCGGGCAGAAACAACACACAGGAUAACACACUAAUCUAACGAGGCCUAUCAGUCUCUGAAAAUUGUCCUGUUUAAAGUCAAUAAAAGCCAAAGAAACGUUUUUUAAAAAAUCAAUCGGACUUGUUUUACAAAACGACGCAAAAAAUGAUCUUUAACAAAGAUUUUAAUGUGUAGCCAUUCGAUGUGGGGCGUGUUUGUUAAUUUAAUGAACACAUCUGAAUGGACUGAAUGGGGGAAGAAACACACACUGGACACAGAGAAUGGGCGCUAGCUACGCGCUGAGACGGACUAGCUAGCUUUAUCCGAAAGCGUAAAGACGAACUGAGCGAGGAAACGUCACAGAACUUUCUGGAACGUCAACAAUAACUCACUGAACGAAUCUCGGUUGUGACCAAAAGAUUCGGCACACACGCUGUUACACAUAUGACCCACACAAUUCACAGACUUUUACAAAACACUGACGGAUUAAAAAUAUAACAUAAACCUAUGUAAAAAAAUCUCUGGAAAUGUAGUGGUUUGGCUUCAGGUUUCAGUUUUGUGGUUUGCAAUAGCGAAGCCCAUCAGCAGCAACUGAACGAAAGGAAUGACUCGGUGCGUGGCAGUGAACGAUACUGAUUCAGUUUAGUGACUCCUUUAAAAAGACUAAAUUGUUCACAAACGAAUCAUGUCUAGUGCAUGAUACUGAUUCGUUCACUUCAGUGAUCCGUUCAAAAAGACGGAAUCAUUCAUGAAUGAAACAUGUCUAGUGACUGGUACAGAUUCGGUCAUUGAAGUGAUUCGUUUAAAAAGACCGAAUUGUGAUCCGAACACGGCCGAUCCUGAUCCUUUCACGUCAGUGAUUUGUUCAAAAAAUAUGGAUUCAUUCACAAACGAAUCAUGUCUAGUGAACGAUACUGAUUCAUUCACCUUAUGACUUGUUCAAAAAGACUGAAUCAUUUGUGAUUUGUGAACUCUGUCUCUUUCCUCUUCACCAGCGCAGAUGGUGUAUUCUGUUUUCCGUCAAGUUUUUCCAGCGAUCCUUUAACUAACUGAUUUCUUACAACAGUUUCUGAACAAUAUUUGUAAGCUAUAAGUUAAAGAUACGUUUAAUGAAACUAUGCUACUUUGUGCAACCGUAUACGUUUUUAGUAGCUCAUAAUUUUUUUUUAAAUGAUUUUACAUUCACAUGAAGUUACAAUCAAAUUAGUUGAUUAGCUAAAGGUGCGUUAGGACUGACUUAUAAAUAAUCUUGUUGUCAGAGUUAUUGUAGUGUUUAGGUGAAUAAAAUUUCCCAGGAUUUUCUCACUCUGUUGUUAGCAAUAACACCAUAAACAUGCUCUACGUGUUAGUAUGUUAGCCUGUUGUGAGCUAGCAGUUACUUAUCGGACUUUUAGUAAGUUUUAGCACGUAACUUUACAGAGUUUAAACGUCAAAUCAACCACAAAGACCACAGAAGGAGGGUAGUAGUGCAUGUUUCAUAAAAUACAGUCAUCAGAACUACGCUACCCAGAAUUCCGUUCUCUCAAAUCCAGCAUUUCCUGAAACCUGGGCUAAUGUACGACGUAAAGUGUUUUAGUACUGGCUUGUCAUCAAGGUUGUCAAGUUUCAUAUUAUUUUUUUUUUUACAUAUUAUUCUCUGCAAAAUCACACCCUCUCUUCACAGCCAAUGGGGAUCUUUGACCAGCCAACAAGCGUCCAAUCAGAUUAAGUCUUUCAGCCUGAGGCACUGAAAGAGGAGCGUGAGGUGGCAGAGAGGAAAUAAAUAAAAUUGGACAUUUUACAGCAUGUUAUAGCUCAUUUCUUUCUCAUUCGAUUUCAGUCAUUCCUCAGUUGUUGUAUCACGACAAAAAAGAAACAAAAAUAACUAAAUCUUAUUAGCAGAGGUUAGCAAAGUUCUGCUGUUACUAGCCCCUCAUUCAUUCAUCUUUAUUCUUUUCUUAUCAUUUUCCUGUGCGUUAGCUAUCUAUACUCUGAAAUGGGGAAAAUAAAAUAAAUUAUCCACGUCCUGUCUGAUGUAGCUUCCUUCAUGUUAGCACCCGUCCUUCUUCAUAACCUGUGUGUGUGUAUAUGUGACAAUGUGUGAGCGUACGCAUCUUCAUAUGGACAUCAGUGUGUUGGUAUGAGUGUGUGUGCGUGUGGUUCCAUGCGCAUGUGUGUGUGUUUAGAAGCCCUUAAUGUGGCAGUAAGCCUCGAGUGAGGAGAACAAGAUGUAGAUCAGCCACAAGCUGACAAAGAGCAUGGUUGUGAGCACUUUGGCAGUCCUCGGGCCUCCCAGCUCUCCACCGAUGUCGGGUCGGCGCCGGUACAUGAGCGUAGCCACGCAGAUGAAGGCGAAGAUGGUGAAGAGUGUGACUGAGAAGGCCAGGCUGCCUGGCUCCACACGAAAUUCACGCCCUUUCGAUUGGUGGUAGAUGGCGGCGAUGGACCAUGCCACACCGAUGCCCAGGAACACAUUCACCGCAUUGCUGCCCGUCACGUUCCCGAUAGACGCAUCGGCAUACUGGUCCUGGAUCGCAGCCACUUUACUGGCGAAGGUGUCUGGAGAAAAAAAUAAAGAAAGAGAAGCAUACAUUAAGCUGGUGGAAGACUUUGAAAGGUUUGAAUGCUGCCCUCUAGUGGAAAAUACUGCAGUGACAUCCACAGUUUUAUAUCAUCGGUCAUGAAAAAUUGCAUAACAGUUAUAUCCAUUGCAUAAAGUCACACUUUCAGAUAGGGGAUCCAAAAAUGUUGCUUUCAAUUUUACAACUGCAUAAUAGUAAAGAAGGAAUAGUGGGCUG
ensembl:lncRNA